rnacentral:lncRNA from 1 species
UUCUAGGUCUGAAGUCCUAUAAAAUUCAUAAGCCUGCUAAUAAAUACCAGCCUUUGACCCCCAAAUGCACAAAUGAGUUCCAUCCCUGUCCUAAAAUACCAGGUCUUGAAUUGGUCGGAUAAUCAUCGAGGAGGGGAGGUCACUGGGUUAGGCUGUGUUAGGAUGAUGUAGAGGUAUAAAUAUAACCAUGCCUUCUGGAGUUCCUAACAGAGCUCCAUUGGAAAAUAUCGUGUCACAUUAUUAACCCUUUAAUCCCAAAUUCUGUUUUGGAAAAAAUAUGCUCCAGCAGCAUUUGACACAAUCCCAGUUCAACGUAGAUCAAUGGCAUUUAUGGUCCUAAUUAAUGGUUCCCUAAAUCCACAUCCUUUACAAUGUGAUUUUACAGGUCCUUACAAGAAGAGAUGAAGUCCAUUUUCCCCCUCCUCAAAUCUGGGAUGGCCUUGUAACUUUCUUUGGCCAAGACAGUGCAGCAGAAGUGAUGAUAGGGGUUCUAAGCCUAGUGCCUGUGGGCACAGCAGGACAGCAGCAUAGAACCCUCCUGAGGGCCAGAUUCGACAUCCUCCAUCUCAACAGGGUCCCCGAGGUUUUCCUGACUCCAAGGACACUGCAGAUUCCCAGCUCAUAACAAAUGAUGUUCAUGCACAUGCCAGCCCUUUCUUUCUAUGAGGCAAUCCUCAGAGGCCUUUGCCAAGAUAAACUGUUUGGCCUUCUGCCUUGAAAGUCGAUCCUCUUCUGCGUCUGAUUAUUGCUUUUCUGAAACACAGGGACAAUGACAUCAUUGCUCCCUCCCUGGUUUGGGGAUUUGAUGGUCAGCAUGAAGUCAGGGUUUGGAAUGGUGCCUGCUUUUUGCCAAUGUCCACGGGCGGGGGUGGCCUGGAGUAAAGCAAGCUCGUGAGGGGGAGGUGGGUGCCGUGAGGUCCCCAGGGGCUGGGGGUUGGGGGCAGAUUCGCUUUUCAUUCUGUUGCCAGCAUCCGGGUCUGCCUUGUUGUAU